rnacentral:rRNA from 1 species
ACGGAAGGCAGCAGUGGGGAAUAUUGGGCAAUGGGGGAAACCCUGACCCAGCAACGCCGCGUGAAGGAAGAAGGCUUUCGGGUUGUAAACUUCUUUUAGUAGGGACGAACAAAUGACGGUACCUACAGAAAAAGCAACGGCUAACUACGUGCCAGCAGCCGCGGUAAUACGUAGGUUGCAAGCGUUGUCCGGAUUUACUGGGUGUAAAGGGAGCGCAGGCGGGAAAUCAAGUUGGAUGUGAAAUGUCGGGGCUUAACCCCGGAACUGCAUCCAAAACUGAUUUUCUUGAGUGAAGUAGAGGUAGGCGGAAUUCCGAGUGUAGCGGUGAAAUGCGUAGAUAUUCGGAGGAACACCAGUGGCGAAGGCGGCCUACUGGGCUUUAACUGACGCUGAGGCUCGAAAGUGUGGGGAGCAAACAGGAUUAGAUACCCUGGUA